rnacentral:rRNA from 1 species
CAGCAGCCGCGGUAACACGUAGGUGGCAAGCGUUGUCCGGAAUUAUUGGGCGUAAAGCGCGCGCAGGCGGAUCGGUCAGUCUGUCUUAAAAGUUCGGGGCUUAACCCCGUGAUGGUAUGGAAGCUGCCAAUCUAGAGUAUCGGAGAGGAAAGUGGAAUUCCUAGUGUAGCGGUGAAAUGCGUAGAUAUUAGGAAGAACACCAGUGGCGAAGGCGACUUUCUGGACGAAAACUGACGCUGAGGCGCGAAAGCCAGGGGAGCGAACGGGAUUAGAUACCCCCGUAGUCCCUGUCUCUUAUACC